rnacentral:rRNA from 1 species
GGUUUGAUCAUGGCUCAGAUUGAACGCUGGCGGGAUGCUUUACACAUGCAAGUCGAACGGCAGCACGGACUUCGGUCUGUGGUGAGUGGCGAACGGGUGAGUAAUGUAUCGGAACGUGCCUAGUAGCGGGGGAUAACUACGCGAAGGCGUAGCUACUACCGCAUACGCCCUUCGGGGGAAAGCGGGGACCUUUCGGGCCUCGCACUAUUAGGAGCGGCCGAUAUCGGAUUAGCUAGUUGGGGUAACGGCUCACCAAGGCGACGAUCCGUAGCUGGUUUGAGGAGGACGACCAGCCACACCAGACCGAGACACGGCCCAGACUCCUACGGGAGUGCAGGGAAUUUUGGACAAUGGGGGAAACCCCGAUCCAGCCAUCCCGCGUGUGCGAUGAAGGCCUUCGCUGUAAAGCACUUUUGGCAGGAAAGAAACGGCACGGAUAAUACCCCGUGCAACUGACGGUACCUGCAGAAUAAGCACCGGCUACCACAGCCAGCAGCCGCGGUAAUACGUAGGGUAAGCGUUAAUCGGAAUUACUGGGCGUAAAAGCGUGCGCAGCAGGCGGUUCGGAAAGAAAGAUGUGAAAUCCCAGAGCUUAACUUUGGAACUGCAUUUUUAACUACCGAGCUAGAGUGUGUCAGAGGGAGGUGGAAUUCCGCGUGUAGCAGUGAAAUGCGUGUAGAUAUGCGGAGGAACACCGAUGGUGAAGGCAGCCUCCUGGGAUAACACUGACGCUCAUGCACGAAAGCGUGGGAGCCAAACACAGGAUUAGAUACCCCGGUAGUCCACGCCCUAAACGAUGUCAACUAGCUGCUGGGCCUUCGGCCUGGUAGCACAGCUAACGCGUGAAGUUGACCGCCUGGGAGUACGGUCGCAAGAUUAAAACUCAAAGGAAUUGACGGGACCCGCACAAGCGGUGGAUGAUGUGGAUUAAUUCGAUGCAACGAAAACCUUACCUACCCUUGACAUGUCUGGAAUCCCGAAGAGAUUUGGGAGUGCUCGCAAGAGAACCGGAACACAGGUGCUGCAUGGCUGUCGUCAGCUCGUGCCGUGAGAUGUUGGGUUAAGUCCCGCAACGAGCGCAACCCUUGUCAUUAGUUGCUACGAAAGGGCACUCUACGAGACUGCCGGUGACAAACCGGAGGAAGGUGGGGAUGACGUCAAGUCCUCAUGGCCCUUAUGGGUAGGGCUUCGCACGUCAUACAAUGGUCGGGACAGAGUGGUCGCCAACCCGCGAGGGGGAGCCAAUCCCAGAAACCCGAUCGUAGUCCGAUCGCAGUCUGCAACUCGACUGCGUGAAGUCGGAAUCGCUAGUAAUCGCGGAUCAGCAUGUCGCGGUGAAUACGUUCCCGGGUCUUGUACACACCGCCCGUCACACCAUGGGAGUGGGUUUUACCAGAAGUAGUUAGCCUAACCGUAAGGAGGGCGAUUACCACGGUAGGAUUCAUGACUGGGGUGAAGUCGUAACAAGGUAA